rnacentral:rRNA from 1 species
UACGUAGGGUGCAAGCGUUUAAUCGGAAUACUGGGCGUAAAGCGUGCGCAGGCGGUUUUUGUAAGUUUUGGUCGUGAAAGCCCCCGGGCUCAACCUGGGGAAUUGCGAUGAAGACUGCAAGGCUUGAAUCUGGCAGAGGGGGGGUAGAAUUCCACGUGUAGCAGUGAAAUGCGUAGAGAUGUGGAGGAACACCGAUGGCGAAGGCAGCCCCCUGGGGUCAAGAUUGACGCUCAUGCACGAAAGCGUGGGGAGCAAACAGG